rnacentral:rRNA from 1 species
AUUGAACGCUGGCGGCAGGCCUAACACAUGCAAGUCGAACGGUAGCACAGAGAGCUUGCUCUCGGGUGACGAGUGGCGGACGGGUGAGUAAUGUCUGGGAAACUGCCCGAUGGAGGGGGAUAACUACUGGAAACGGUAGCUAAUACCGCAUAACGUCGCAAGACCAAAGUGGGGGACCUUCGGGCCUCACACCAUCGGAUGUGCCCAGAUGGGAUUAGCUAGUAGGUGGGGUAAUGGCUCAACUAGGCGACGAUCCCUAGCUGGUCUGAGAGGAUGACCAGCCACACUGGAACUGAGACACGGUCCAGACUCCUACGGGAGGCAGCAGUGGGGAAUAUUGCACAAUGGGCGCAAGCCUGAUGUAGCCAUGCCGCGUGUAUGAAGAAGGCCUUCGGGUUGUAAAGUACUUUCAGCGGGGAGGAAGGCGGUGGAGUUAAUAACUUCACCGAUUGACGUUACCCGCAGAAGAAGCACCGGCUAACUCCGUGCCAGCAGCCGCGGUAA